CAAGACGCACUAGUAAUGGCUUUUUGGCUUUUUUUCUUUGAGGCAGUCCUGCUGCUAUUUCUGAAAGCAUCCAGCGGGCAAAUUGUGGUGACUCAGACAACCUCAGUUAUGACUGCUAAGCCAGGAGAAACGGUCAGGCUGAGCUGUAAAACCAGCAGUGCAAUUUUACAUGGUGGUAAAAACUACCUGGCCUGGUAUCAACAGAAAUCAGGAGAAACUCCGAAACUCCUGAUUUCUUACUCAAGCACUCUGCAGUCUGGGAUCUCAAGUCGCUUCAGUGGCAGUGGCUCUGGACUUGAUUAUACGCUGACCAUCAGUAACGUGCAGCCUGAAGAUGCAGGGCAUUACUAUUGUCAGCAGCAUUACAGCACUCCUCUCACACAGUGA